UACGUAGGCAGCAAGCGUUGUUCGGAAUUACUGGGCGUAAAGAGUACGUAGGAGUUGUUCGCAAGUCCGAUGUGAAAUCUCCUGGCUUAACUGGGAGGGUGCGUUUUGAUACGGAUGGGGCUAGAGUUCGGGAGAGGAGAGUGGAAUUCCCCAGUGUAGAGGUGAAAUUCGUAGAUAUUGGGAAGAACACCGGUGGCGAAGGCGGCUCUCUGGACCGAUACUGACGCUGAGGCGCGAAAGCGUGGGGAGCGAACAGG
rnacentral:rRNA from 1 species